rnacentral:tRNA from 1 species
AAUGACGUGGCCGAAGUUUAUUAGGCGUUAGAUUGUAAAUCUAUUUAUGGGUAAAUAAACUCCUUCAUUA